rfam:Sarcophilus harrisii ctg7180002451206, whole genome shotgun sequence.
AAGCACAAAGGUUUGGUCCUGGCCUUACUGUUAAUUUUUAUUAGACCUACACAUGCAAGUUUCCACAACCCAGCAAGUAUGCCCUUUUAACUUCCAUAGAGUCUAAAGGAGCUGGUAUCAGGCACACUUACAAAAGUAGCCCAUGACACCUUGUUUAACCACACCCCCACGGGUUACAGCAGUGACUAACACUGAGCUAUAAACAAAAGUUUGACUAAAUCAUAAUAAAUAAGGGUUGGUAAAUCUCGUGCCAGUCACUACGGUCACACGAUUAACCCAAAUUAACAGAAGAGCGGCAUAAAGGGUGUUUAAGCAUAUAACCUACCAAAUAAAGUUAAAGCUCAACUGUGCUGUAAUACGCCCUAGUUGAUAUUAAAAUACGCAACUUACGUGACUUUACUAAUGCUGAAGACACUAAAGCUAAGGCACAAACUGGGAUUAGAGACCCCACUAUGCUUAGCCGUAAACCAAGGUAAUUAAAUAACAAAAUUACUUGCCAGAGAACUACUAGCCACUGCUUAAAACUCAAAGGACUUAGCGGUGCCCUAGACCCUCCUAGAGGAGCCUGUUCUAUAAUCGAUAAACCCUGAUACACCUCACCCCUUCUCGCUUAUCAGCCUAUAUACCGCCAUAGUCAGCUCACCCCAACAGGGCCCCAAAGUGAGCAAAAUCAUGAAACCAUAAAAACAUUAGGUCAAGGUGUAGCAUAUGAAAGGGGAAGCAAUGGGCUACAUUUUCUAUAUUAGAACACAACGGGUUGUCUACUGAAAUAAAGACAUGAAGGAGGAUUUAGUAGUAAAUUAAGAAUAGAGGGCUUAGUUGAAAUAGGCAAUAGGGUGCUUACACACCGCCCAUCACCCUCCUCAAUAAAGUAACCUUCAAUACCUAAUUAGAAUACGCCAAAAAGAGGAGAAAAGUUGUAACAUGGUAAGUGUACUGGAAAGUGCACUUGGACAAUCAAAAUG